CCCUGAAUACCUUAGUAACCCCAAGAUUUCCUAUUUGUUAACAUAUUUACUGAGAAGCGUAAAACUGGGCACAGUACUCCAGAUGUAGCUUCAUCAAUGCCAGGGAAACAGCUGAAGGGCCCAGCCCAGGGCAGAACAUUAAGAGCAACCAGCUGCAUUCCCUGGUUCAGGGAGCUCUGCCACAGGCAUCAGAACUGCUGGACUGAUAUUGUCAAACAAAGUGAAGACACUGGGUGGAAACCAAGACACCAAAGAUGAAGUCAAUAUUAAAUUACAUAAUGUGUAAAACAAGCAUGCAAACAGAAGAGGUUUUUUGAAGACCAUAAGAAAACCUGACAUUUGCUUCAGACCUGAAAGACACACAGGAUCCAAACUAAAUGGUGAAAAUCAGGAAAACUCCAGUCUGCUUAUUAGUGCAUUAAAUUUCAAGACAGAACUCAUUUUUGGAUGCAUGUUAAGACUAUGGGAAAGUGGUGUAC